rnacentral:rRNA from 1 species
UACGGAGGGUGCAAGCGUUGUUCGGAAUUACUGGGCGUAAAGCGCGUGUAGGCGGUUGAGCAAGUCAGAUGUGAAAUCCUUCCGCUCAACGGGAGAAGUGCAUUUGAAACUACUCAACUAGAGUACGGGAGAGGAGAGUGGAAUUCCCGGUGUAGAGGUGAAAUUCGUAGAUAUCGGGAGGAGCACCGGUGGCGAAGGCGGCUCUCUGGCCCGAUACCGACGCUGAGGUAAGAAAGCUAGGGGAGCGAAUGGG